UUGCUUCAACAGCACAUAUACUAAAAUUCGAAUGAUACAGGGAAGAUUAGCAUGGCCCCUGGGCAGGAUGACAUGCAAAUUUGUGAAGCAUUCCAUAUUUGU